rnacentral:tRNA from 1 species
GUAGAUAUAGUUUAAUCUAAAACGUUAGGAUGUGGACCUAAAAAGGGGGGUUAAAGUCCCCUUAUUUACC